rnacentral:lncRNA from 1 species
UGCGGCAGUCACCUCUGUAAAUCAGAUUACGCGGCGGCACAUUCAAUUGGCAAGCGUGGGAGGGCUCUUUCUUACCCUUUUCCUCCGACUGGCGGCGGAGUGACUUGGUCCAGCCCUUCAGCGAGCGACUUUUGCCCUAGGUUGAUAAAAGAGAGGCAGAGAUGUCCCAAUCGAAAAACAGGUUUGUCCUGCUUCUUUGAAGCAGAACUUUCUGUCGGAGGCAGUCACAGUUUACGAAUGGCAUGUACUCGAAGAAGGAUUGCAGAUACAAGCUGUAUCCGCCCAGAGAUCGACUUUGCGCUGGGGCGGGGUGGAACCAGUGUUUCACCUCUUCCUCCAGGCCAUACUAGGGAGGAGACGCGGAGCGAUCACGAGGAAGAAGCAGAACUGCAUUUCUGUCCGUUAAGAAAGCAUUUGGGAGUGCUGUAUUGUGACUGAAGGAUGUCUUCAAUUUUAAAAGUGUUUGGGAGAGACGAAAAGGAUAAGGACAAGGAAAAAGACAAGGAAAAAGACAAGAAAGAUAGUGAUAAAAAAGACAAGAAGAAGAAGAAAGAGAAAAAGGUAAGGAAAAUAAUUAUGGUUCCUUUUCAAUGAAGCAGAUGCAAUUAGGUUUUUAGUUGAUUAAAUGAUUAGAUGAUUUUUGGUUGUAAGCGAAUGAACAUUUGUUAAAACCUAUAGUCCUCAAGCUUAGUAAAUCUACAAUAGUUCCAUAGCAGGUAAAGGGUUACAAAUCCACAGUUUAUACCUAAAAGGUUUUGAAAAAGAGUUCAGAUAUCCCACAGUGGAUGUGAGCCAUGCCAGGGGCUCUGCAUUGAACUCAAAUUGAUACGAUGAUGUGGAAUAUUUCAGCAUAAUAAAAUGUUUCUUUCUACUGCUCUCA